GAUGAAGAACGUAGCGAAAUGCGAUAAGUAGUGUGAAUUGCAGAAUUCAGUGAAUCAUCGAAUCUUUGAACGCACAUUGCGCCCCUUGGUAUUCCAUGGGGCAUGCCUGUUCGAGCCUCAUUUGUACCUUCAAGCUUUGCUUGGUGUUGGGUGUUUGUCUCGCCUUUGCGUGUAGACUCGCCUUAAAAUAAUUGGCAGCCGGCGUAUUGAUUUCGGAGCGCAGUACAUCUCGCGCUUUGCACUCAUAACGACAGCGUCCAAAAGUACAUUUUACACUCUUGACCUCGGAUCAGGUAGGGAUACCCGCUGAACUUAAGCAUAUCAAUAAGCGGAGGA
rnacentral:misc_RNA from 1 species